GAUGAACGCUGGCGGCGUGCCUAACACAUGCAAGUCGAACGAAGCGAUUUCUAGGAAGUUUUCGGAUGGAAUAGAGAUUGACUGAGUGGCGACGGGUGAGUAACGCGUGGGUAACCUGCCUCACACUGGGGACGAACAGUUAGAAUAGACUAGCUAAUACCGCAUAAGACGCACGGUACCGCAUGGUACAGUGUGAAAACUACCGGUGGUGUGAGAUGGACCCGCGUCUGAUUAGA
rnacentral:rRNA from 1 species